AUUGAACGGCUGGCGGCAUGCCUUACACCAUGCAAGUCGAACGGCGAGCACGGGGGCGAACCCUGGUGGCGAGUGGCGAACGGGUGAGUAAUAAUAUCGGAACAUGCCCUGAAGUGGGGGAGUAACGUAGCGAAAGUUGCGCUAAUACCGCAUAUUCUGUGAGACCCCCGGAAAGCAGGGGAUCGCAAGACCUUGCGCUUUAGGAGUGGCCGAUAUCGGAUUAGCUAGUUGGUGAGGUAAAGGCUCACCAAGGCGACGAUCCGUAGCGGGUCUGAGAGGAUGAUCCGCCACACUGGGACUGAGACACGGCCCAGACUCCUACGGGAGGCAGCAGUGGGGAAUUUUGGACAAUGGGCGCAAGCCUGAUCCAGCCAUGCCGCGUGAGUGAAGAAGGCCUUCGGGUUGUAAAGCUCUUUCGGCGGGGAAGAAAUUGCUUAGGCUAAUACCUUAAGUAGAUGACGGUACCCGCAUAAGAAGCACCGGCUAACUACGUG
rnacentral:rRNA from 1 species